UACGGCCAUAUCACGUUGAAACACCAGUUCAUGUUCCCGUUCCCCGAAGUUAAGCAAUGUUGAGUCUGGUUAGUAACAAGGUAGGUGACCGCUUGUGAAUUUAGGUUG